AAUACCUAAUCUCUAUCAAACAUUAGUCCUUCAUCCUCUUUCAAAGGAAAACAACCUAAAUCAUCCAGAUUCUCCAAAACAUCAAGUUCAAGGAAAAAGGGAAAUCCUCACAACUAUUGAAAAUGGCAGAUAAGCUUAUAGCAGAAGCAGCUUUGCUGCGCAUUGAAGAUGAAGACCCAAGUUCAGAUUCAUCAGACGCUUCGUCUCAACCAGCCAAAUGGGCAGAUUACUAGGAUGCCUAAGACCCGUAUGAUUUGUAAAUUUCAAACAUGUAAUAAUUUUCAAUCAUUCUAAGUUUUUAUACAUGUAAAUCGCACAGUAGAAGCUAUGUGAAUUCCAUAGAAAGCA
rnacentral:lncRNA from 1 species